rnacentral:tRNA from 1 species
GCCUUCUUAGCUCAGUGGUAGAGCGCGUGGCUUUUAACCACGUGUUGUUGGUUUGAUCCCACAGACGGUG